rnacentral:rRNA from 1 species
AGCGGAGGAAAAGAAACUAACAAGGAUUCCCCUAGUAACUGCGAGUGAAGCGGGAUGAGCUCAAAUUUAAAAUCUAGUGGCUUUCAGUCGCUCGAGUUGUAAUCUGGAGAAGUGUUUUCCGCGUCGGACCGUGUACAAGUCUCUUGGAAUAGAGCUUCAUAGAGGGUGAGAGUCCCGUCCAUGACACGGAUUACCGGUGCUUUUGUGAUACACUCUCAAAGAGUCGAGUUGUUUGGGAAUGCAGCUCAAAAUGGGUGGUAAAUUCCAUCUAAAGCUAAAUAUUGGCGAGAGACCGAUAGCGAACAAGUACCGUGAGGGAAAGAUGAAAAGCACUUUGGAAAGAGAGUUAAACAGUACGUGAAAUUGUUGAAAGGGAAACGCUUGAAGUCAGUCGCGUCGUCCGGGACUCAGCCUUGCUCUUUUGCUUGGUGUACUUCCUGGUUUGACGGGUCAACAUCGAUUUUGGAUGGCGGACAAAGGCGGGGGGAAUGUGGCACCUUUCGGGGUGUGUUAUAGCCCUUCGUUCGUAUACGCUGACUGGGAUCGAGGACUGCAGCACGCCUUUAUGGUCGGGGGUUCGCCUCACGCAACGUGCUUAGGAUGUUGGCAUAAUGGCUUUAAGCGACCCGUCUU